rnacentral:rRNA from 1 species
GACGAACGCUGGCGGCGUGCCUAAUACAUGCAAGUAGGACGCAGUUGCGAACGGGUGAUUAACGCGUCGGUAACUGCCUAUUAGAGGGGGAUAACUAUGGGAAACGAUAGCUAAUACCGCAUACUAGUAGCUGGACCUGCGUUGUAUUAGCUAGUAGGUAGGGGAAUGGCCUACCUAGGUGACGAUGCAUAGCCGACCGUGGAGGGUGGUCGGCCAAACUGGGACAGAGACAAGGCCCAGACUCCUGCGGGCGGCAGCAGUAGGGAAGCUUCGGCAAUGGAGGGAAGUCUGACUGAGCAAAGGCGGGGGAGAGAAGAAGGUUUUCGGAUCGUAAAACUCUGUUGUUAAGGAAGCGGUACUUAACCAGAAAGAGACGGCUAACUACGUGCCAGCAGCCGCGGUAAUAC